UACGUAGGGGGCAAGCGUUAUCCGGAUUUACUGGGUGUAAAGGGAGCGUGGGCGGCGAUGCAAGUCAGAAGUGAAAGCCCGGGGCUCAACUCCGGGACUGCUUUUGAAACUGUAUGGCUAGAUUGCAGGAGAGGCAAGUGGAAUUCCUAGUGUAGCGGUGGAAUGCGUAGAUAUUAGGAGGAACACCAGUGGCGAAGGCGAUUUGCUGGGCCAUUACUGACGCUCAUGCACGAAAGCGUGGGGAGCAAAUAGG
rnacentral:rRNA from 1 species